rnacentral:rRNA from 1 species
UACGUAGGGGGCAAGCGUUGUCCGGAUUUAUUGGGCGUAAAGAGCGUGUAGGCGGUCAGGUAGGUCCGUUGUGAAAACUCGAGGCUCAACCUCGAGACGCCGAUGGAAACCAUCUGACUAGAGUCCGGAAGAGGAGAGUGGAAUUCCUGGUGUAGCGGUGAAAUGCGCAGAUAUCGGAAGGAACACCAGUGGCGAAAGCGGCUUCCUGGUCCAGCACCGACGUUCAGGCACGAAAGCGUGGGGAGCAAACAGG